rnacentral:rRNA from 1 species
GACGUAGGGCGCGAGCGUUGUCCGGAUUUAUUGGGCGUAAAGAGCUCGUAGGCGGCUUGUCGCGUCGUCCGUGAAAACCUGCGGCUCAACUGCAGGCUGGCGGUCGAUACGGUCAGGCUGGAGUUCGGUAGGGGAGACUGGAAUUCCUGGUGUAGCGGUGAAAUGCGCAGAUAUCAGGAGGAACACCGGUGGCGAAGGCGGGUCUCUGGGCCGAUACUGACGCUGAGGAGCGAAAGCGUGGGGAGUGAACAGG